rnacentral:sRNA from 1 species
GAUACCAGGGUCAAAAUGUUAAGAAUCUGAUGCAAGCUUGCUUGCAAGAAGAUUUGCACUUUGGAACCCGCCAAAAAUAUGAAUAAAUAGCCAUUUUUCAUGGAAAAAUGUGCGAAUUUAUGAAUGUUUUUGAAGAUUGUGGGAGCACGUAGUGGGAAACAAUCUGGUAU